rnacentral:lncRNA from 1 species
UUAAAACAGAAAUGAUUAAAAGCUAAUAGCUCAUAAAGAAUCAAUUUUUUAAAAAAUUAACUAGUAUAACUCAAAUAGACUCUUCCUUCCGAUCUCAUGCAAGAGCCAAUUUUCACCUACAUUCCGACCUCAUGCAAAAACCAAUUUUCACCUAUCAUUCAAACUCAUGCAAAUAAUAAGCCCUCAUGCAAAAACCAAUUUUUACCUAACUUCCUACCUCAUACAAAAACCAAACUCAUGCAAAUUAUAAGCUUAACUUACCCUCUCAAAUAACACUAUAAAAAGAAAUGUGAGAAAGCAAUUUUAUAUUCAUUCAAUA